ACACUUACCUGGCAGAAAAAUACCAUGAUCUAAAGGUAAUUUUUCCAGGUGAGGAAUAUCCAUUGCAUUCUGGAUGUGAUAUCUCCUUCAGUUUUCCAAAUAUAAGAAACUAGACUGCAUAAUUCUUGGUAGUGAGGGACUGCAUUUGCAUUCUUGCC